GGUAACAGGGAGCUUGCUCCGCUGACGACCGGCGCACGGGUGCGUAACGCGUAUACAAUCUACCUUUUGCUACGGGAUAGCCCAGAGAAAUUUGGAUUAAUACCGCAUAGUAUAUAUGAAUCGCAUGGUUUAUAUAUUAAAGGUUACGGCAGAAGAUGAGUAUGCGUUCUAUUAGCUAGAUGGUGUGGUAACGGCAUACCAUGGCAACGAUAGAUAGGGGCCCUGAGAGGGGGAUCCCCCACACUGGUACUGAGACACGGACCAGACUCCUACGGGAGGCAGCAGUGAGGAAUAUUGGACAAUGGGCGAGAGCCUGAUCCAGCCAUGCCGCGUGCAGGAAGACGGCCCUAUGGGUUGUAAACUGCUUUUAUACAGGAAGAAACACCUCUACGUGUAGAGGCUUGACGGUACUGUAAGAAUAAGGAUCGGCUAACUCCGUGCCAGCAGCCGCGGUAAUACGGAGGAUCCAAGCGUUAUCCGGAAUCAUUGGGUUUAAAGGGUCCGUAGGUGGAUAAUUAAGUCAGGGGUGAAAGUCUGCGGCUCAACUGUAGAAUUGCCCUUGAUACUGGUUGUCUUGAGUCAUUAUGAAGUAGUUAGAAUAUGUAGUGUAGCGGUGAAAUGCAUAGAUAUUACAUAGAAUACCAAUUGCGAAGGCAGAUUACUAAUAAUGUACUGACACUGAUGGACGAAAGCGUGGGGAGCGAACAGGAUUAGAUACCCUGGUAGUCCACGCCGUAAACGAUGGAUACUAGCUGUUGGAGAGAGAUCUUCAGUGGCUAAGCAAAAGUGAUAAGUAUCCCA
rnacentral:rRNA from 1 species